AGCGAACGCUGGCGGCAGGCCUAACACAUGCAAGUCGAACGAACCUACCGGGGUCAGUGGCGGACGGGUGUGUAACACGUGGGAACGUGCCUUUAGGUUUGGAAUAACUCAGGGAAACUUGUGCCAACACCGAAUGGGCCCUUCGGGGGAAAGAUAUAUUGAACCUAGGGGGGCCCGCGUCUGAUUAGCUAGUUGGUUGAGGUAUUGGUUCACCAAGGCGACGUUCAGUAGCUGGUCUGUGAGACUGGUCAGACACAUUGGGGCUGGGCCGCAGCCCAAACUCCUACGCGAGGCAGCAGAGGGGGAUCUUGCACAAUGGGCGAAGGCCUGACGGAGCCAUGCUGGGUAAAUGCUGAAGGUAUUAGAAUAGUAAAGUUCUUUCAACGGGGACGAUAAUGACGGUACCCAAAGAGGAAGCCCCGGCUAACUUCGUG
rnacentral:rRNA from 1 species